rnacentral:rRNA from 1 species
AUUGAACGCUGGCGGCAUGCCUUACACAUGCAAGUCGAACGAACCCUUCGGGGUUAGUGGCGGACGGGUGAGUAACACGUGGAACGUGCCUUUAGGUUCGGAAUAACUCAGGGAAACUUGUGCUAAUACCGAAUGUGCCCUUCGGGGGAAAGAUUUAUCGCCUUUAGAGCGGCCCGCGUCUGAUUAGCUAGUUGGUGAGGUAAUGGCUCACCAAGGCUACGAUCAGUAGCUGGUCUGAGAGGAUGACCAGCCACAUUGGGACUGAGACACGGCCCAAACUCCUACGGGAGGCAGCAGUGGGGAAUCUUGCGCAAUGGGCGAAAGCCUGACGCAGCCAUGCCGCGUGGAUGAUGAAGGUCUUAGGAUUGUAAAAUCCUUUCACCGGUGAAGAUAAUGACUGUAGCCGGAGAAGAAGCCCCGGCUAACUUCGUGCCAGCAGCCGCCGUAAAAC